rnacentral:rRNA from 1 species
CCUACGGGUGGCAGCAGUGAGGAAUAUUGGUCAAUGGGCGAGAGCCUGAACCAGUCAAGUCGCGUGAAGGAUGAAGGUUCUAUGGUUUGUAAACUUCUUUUAUAUGGGAAUAAAGUGAGGAACGUGUUCCUUUUUGUAUGUACCAUAUGAAUAAGCAUCGGCUAACUCCGUGCCAGCAGACGCGGUAAUACGGGGGAUGCGAGCGUUACCCGGAUUUAUUUGGUUUAAAGGGUGCGUAGGUGGUUAAUUAAGUCAUCGGUGAAAGUUUGUGGCUCAACCAUAAAAUUGCCGUUGAAACUGGUUGACUGGAGUAUGUUUGAGGUAGGCGGAAUGCAUGGUGUAGCAGUGAAAU